rnacentral:tRNA from 1 species
GUCAUUUUGGCGGAUAAGCGCACAAAGUUUAGGACUUUGAAACGGGGAACCAAGUGGUA